AGAAAUUUAAGUUAAUGAAACUAUAGACCUUCAAAGUCUAAAACAGGGACACCCCACGCCCUAAUUCUG
rnacentral:tRNA from 1 species